UCCUCCAGUCCGCGGGGCCUGCUGCGGCGCGCCGGCCUUAGGCGGGGCUUUCCUCCUUCUCCCCCCGCCUACAGGAAGGCGGAAGGGGGUGUAUGAAGGGUCCCUGCGAGGUUCAAUCCGCGCCGCUGCACUCUGGCUCCCUGACGUUUCCGAAAGCGUUUUUCGUUUGUAUACAACUUCUUUUUUUUUUUUUUUAAUUUAUUUAUGAUAGUCACAGAGAGAGAGAGAGAGAGAGAGGCAGAGACACAGGCAGAGGGAGAAGCAGGCUCCAUGCACCGGGAGCCCGACGCGGGACUCGAUCCCGGGUCUCCAGGAUCGCGCCCUGGGCCAAAGGCAGGCGCCAAACCGCUGCGCCUCCCAGGGAUCCCUGUCUACAACUUCUUAAGCGUCGUCCGCUGUGUGCCAGGCACUGCUGUAAAUGCUAAGAAGACAGCAGUGACCAAAACAGACAGAACUCCCUGCCCUCAUGGAGUUGGGGAAGACGAAUGAAUGUCGGUUAGGGGGAGUCCUGUGCAGGGGCGUUGGGGGAAGGGAGUGACGCUAGGAAGAGAGGAGUUCAACUUGUAAGACCCAGAAAGCCUGCUGAGAAGGUGACAGCAGGGAAGUCAUAGGUCUCUUAAAGCAAUAAGCCCGAUGCAAAAGUUUUUACGAUGCGUCUUCUUCUUGGGUCUCGUGGACCCGAGGAGAUGGUAGUCCUAUCUCGGCUUCCUGGCGGUGCCACCUGAGCAAGUUAUUUGAUCUUUCUGAGACUCAGUCGCAUCUGAAGAGUAUGGGUGAUAAUUCUCACUUGUGGAGCUUAAGAAUUAAAUGUGAAAAUGCUUGUAAAGUGUUUGGUGCAACGUCUGUACAUGCUAAGUCCUCCGCAUAUGGCAGUUACGUAUCUUGUCCACAGACCUAACCCGCGCAACAGCAAGGCCAAGCUCCCAGCGUGGCCUGCCAGACUCCAGAAUGACCCGACCGGUCUCAGAAAAGGGAAGUAAUUUUUUUUUUCUUAAGGUUUUUAUUUAUUUAUUCGUGAGAGGCAGAGACACAGGCAGAGGGAGAAGCAGGCUCCGUGCAGGGAGCCCGACGUGGGACUCGAUCCCAGGUCUCCAGGAUCAGGCCUUGGGCUGAAGGCAGGCUCUUAACCGCUGAGCCACCCAGGCGUCCAAGUAAUUGUUUAGAAUGGUGAGUUAGAGCUUUUGAUUCUUCUCCAUAUUCUCCGAUGGUGGCGUUGCAAUCAAAAUAAUAAUUGCUGCUUUAUUUGAAUGUUUACUAUGUCCUAGGUGCUUUGAAUGCAUUAAUUUAUUUGAUCUAUUCAAAAACCCUAUUCACAUUUCAGGGUGCUUGGCUGGUGCAGUCAAUAGAGCAUGCCACUCUUGAUCUCCAGGUUGUGAGUUUGAGCCCCUGGUUAGGUGUAGAGAUUACUUAAAAAUAAAAUAUUUUUAAAAAUACUUAUAAAAAGCCCAAUUCUAUUAUUCACAUUUCAGAUGAGGAAACUAGUUUUAACAAGGGAAAGUGUACCACAAGAACUACUAGCCCCGUCUUAAAAGUUAACUGCCCAAUGAAAUUAUCAGGCUUUCAUCACUCUAACAAUAGUAAAUCCUAGCAUUAUUAAUGGUAGAACAAUCAUAUUAUGUGUCUCCUGCUAGGAUGUCAACAUUCAAUAGGCAUCAUCAAGUAUGACCUAUUCUUACCAAAAAAUGUUUCAAUUGGAUCUACUCAAGUUUAUAGGCUAGGCAAGAGGAUCAAGCUAAAGUAAAGCAAAAGGCAGCAAACGGAUUCAGAAGUUGGGAUAUUCUAUAGGACAAAUGGCCUCUUUCCUUCACCAAAUCAAGAAAAGAUGUCAUUCUGGAUUUACGUGUUUUUGAGAGACAGAACAAUUAGACAUAGCAUAUAGCUCAGGGUUAGAUCCUAGUUUGGAGAACCAGCUCUAAAGAACAUUUUGGGGAAAUUAUCUGGGCCUUAAUGUUGCAGUUCUAGAAACCCACCUUUGUGUAGGCACCCUGAGUUGAUUCUUUUCAAAGGAGAUAGAUUUGUCAACCAUGUUUUUACCCACCACCCCACCCCCUGUCCGAUUUCCUUCUGUGCUGAUCUUGGGCCUGCUUUACCCUCAGAUCCAUUCUUCACCUUUCCCUUGCUCUUUUCAGUAUGGCAGUGAUGCCAUGAAGGCUGUGUGUCUUGCACUCUUGUGCUGUUUUGCUUCCAGGCUGUUACUGGGCAACAUCCGAAGAGGGGCACUCCUGGAAAUUGGAGAGAUGGAGGAAGAAGUUCUGAAGACCAGAAACCUGAAAUCCGUUUCACUGGGCUGAAAUCAAGGUGUUGGCAAGGUCGUGUUCCCUCAGUAGUGGUAAAGCACAUAAUGUCUCCAAUUUACUUUUGAAUAAAUCAGAAAUGGGGCAAGAUGUAAACAAUUGGGAAAUCUGGGUAAAGGGUUAUACAGGAGCUCCUUGGACUAUUUUUGCAACCCUUCUGUAAGUUUGAUUAUGCUAAAAUUUAAAGGUACCAGAAGAACAACUAUUAGAGAAAACAGAGGCAGGGCUACAAAACUAAAGUUUCAUGCCAAUUCUAAGGUCAGUGGAAUAGUUUCCUAAUCAGAGGUGGGAAAAUGGGCCAGAUAAUAACACUUCGUUGCUCUUGUACGGUGCUCGUUUUUUAAGUUAUUUCGUAGGAAUGGUUUUAUAUUCUCUUUGCAACAAGUCUGAAGGAUUAGAAGGGCAGACAUUUUUAUUCCCAAUGGACAAAUGAAAAACCGAGUCACUUAAAUGACUUACUCAAGAUCCUUUGUGAGGUUAGUGGCAGAUUCAGGGAUUAGAGUCUUUCUUGAUCCUUCUGUGCUCAUUUAAGGAAUUGGUUAAGAGUGGUUUGAAGUCAGACGGACCUGCGCUCAAAUCUUGGCUACUACUCAAGGUAGGUAGGUUACACAAUAAUGACAAAUCAACCCUGAAAUGUCAACUGCUUAGCACAACCAAGCUAAGGUUUAUUUAUUGUUCCCAUUACGGUGUAACGUAAGCCAGUCAGCUCCCUUGAGACGCUCUCCACCAGGUAGUUAUUUAGGGUAUCUGGGCUGUGUCCUUGGGAGGGAGAGGGAAGCAAGGUGGUCCUGGGCUUCCAGCUGUGUGAAUAAGGAAGAGAUAGCAGAAGUGCCCGUGGAAUGUUUUAAACCGAGAAAUGGGGUAUAUCGCAUCUACAUCUAAUUCACCAGUAUUCAAUCACAUGAUCUCAUCUAAAUGCAUGGAGAUCUGGAAAAUGUAGUCUUUCUGUGUGGUCCAAAGGAAAAUAAAAAGUUGUGUGAACACCCA